rnacentral:rRNA from 1 species
UGGUCACAUGUUUGCCUCAAAGAUUGAGUUCAGUAAAGCGGUUAUAGUUUAUUUGAGACUCACUCUUACAUGGAUAACUGUGGUAAUUCUAGGGCUAUUAAAUGCACCCUAGCCUGACUGCGGAAAGGUUGUGUUUGUUCGAUACAGAACCAUCCCAUACUCAGCAUGGUCUUGUGGUGACUCAUAACAACUCGAUGAAUCGUUCAAGUUUCUGACCUAUCAGCUUCCGACGGGAGGUUGUUGGCCUACGACAGUUAACGGAGAAUUGGAGUUUAAUUCCGGAGAGGGAGCCUGAGAAAGGCAACCACAUCUAAGAAAGGCAGCAGGCGCGCAAAUUACCCAAUCCCGACACGGGGAGGUAGUGACAAUAAAUAACAAUGCAGGGCCCUUUUGGGUCUUGUAAUUGGAAUGAGUACAAUUUAAAUCCCUUAACGAGGAACGAUU